AUCGCCUCCAGUUCAACCCACUGCUUGCUUCCUUAUUGCCUAUGCCCAUCUCCCUACCUGCUCCCAUUGGAUCUGGGGCGCUGCCAAGUCUCAAAUCCUCUUCUUUUAGCUAAGAGUUGUGUAGUUAGGGCCAUAGAGAACAAUGUUGUCGGUCACUAAUCACUGCCCAAUUUAGUUGCAUUAUAAUUUUGAACCCGUGUUCAGACCCAGGUUGGUCCUGCCCUGCCGUCCUCGUCCUCACCAUAUUAGUCCAUUUGGAUUUUAUUUGCCAGUACAAGUCAUGGUCAAACUCGAGUCAAACUCUUCCUAAGCCUGUCCAAACAAGCUGUGCCAAAACAAGGACCAAUAAUCUCAAUUUUCCCAUAAUACCCUCCCUUCAGACGACGUCGUUUCCUUCAUUGCCUUUUGAUAUGCUGUGACCACAUCACGUCACCUCUACUGCUCUCUUUAUAAAAAGCCUAAACACGUGCUUCAACACCGCGAUCCCGGAACACGGCCCUUCAGUGGCAUCCUCGUUAUUUGCAAUCUUUUCGAGGUCAAAUUCCUUACCUCUCUGUGUUUAGCUCACCUUCCCCGACCCACCCUUUCAUAUAACUACUCUUGCUGCCUCUUGACCAGAAACUCAGAACAAAACUUGAAGUCCGGUUCACCCUGUUUGCCUCUCGAGAAAAUUUCUAAUCGAGAAGAGUUUCUAUCGAUUAGCUUUUCUGGCUCUGUUGCAGUAGUAGUGUUGAGGGAGCUUCGUCGGAAAAUGACGUCGGGGACGAGAAUGCCGACGUGGAAGGAGAGAGAGAAUAAUAAGAGAAGAGAGAGGAGAAGAAGGGCGAUCGCGGCGAAGAUCUAUGCUGGACUGAGAAUGUAUGGAAAUUACAAGCUCCCUAAGCACUGCGACAAUAAUGAAGUCCUUAAAGCUCUCUGCAACGAGGCCGGUUGGACAGUUGAAGAAGACGGCACCACUUACAGAAAGGGCUGCAAACCUGUCGAACGUAUGGACAUUAUUGGAGGGUCUGCGUCAGCAAGUCCGUGCUCAUCCUAUCACCCAAGUCCAUGUGCGUCUUAUAAUCCAAGUCCUGGAUCAUCUUCUUUCCCUAGUCCUGUUUCAUCCUGUUACACUGCCAAUACUAAUGGUAAGGCUGAUGCCAAUUCCCUCAUCCCAUGGCUUAAAAACCUCUCAUCUGGCUCAUCAUCAGCCUCAUCCAAGCACCCUUACCAUCUCUUCACUCACAGUGGUUCCAUAAGUGCUCCAGUCACCCCUCCAUUGAGCUCCCCAACUGCUCGAACUCCGCGUGCCAAAAAUGACUGGGAUGACCCGGCGGCUGGUCCAUCAUGGGCAGGUCAGAAUUAUUCGUUCCUGCCCUCAUCUAUGCCGUCAUCUACCCCACCAAGUCCUGGCCGUCAGGUCCUGCCUGAUUCAGGAUGGCUAGCUGGUAUUGAAAUUCCCCUAAGUGGACCAUCAUCACCCACAUUUAGCCUUGUUUCACGGAACCCAUUUGGCUUCAGAGAUGAGCCUCUAUCUGGUGCUGGAUCGCGAAUGUGGACUCCUGGGCAAAGCGGGACAUGCUCUCCUGCUGUUCCUGCAGGUGUUGACCAGACAGCAGAUGUUCCAAUGCUAGACAGUAUGGCAGCUGAGUUUGCAUUUGGAAGUAACACAACAGGGUUAGUGAAACCUUGGGAAGGAGAGAGGAUCCAUGAGGAAUGUGUAUCUGAUGAUCUUGAGCUUACACUUGGAAAUUCUAGGACCAGAUGAGGGGGAACUGACAGAAAGGGUGAGAAUGAAUUAUCCUCGGAUUUCUUGAUUUGGCUUCUUGCUUCCCUUUAUGUUUCAUGUCAAUGACUUCAUAUUGUGCAUGCUUCGGUUGGCAGAGAGCUGAGAUAGAGGUACAGUGAGUAGGAGCACCUGUUCCUUUUUUCUUGUUCUAUUAUUUUUUACUUUUUGGUUUGCUUUUCC
rnacentral:misc_RNA from 1 species